AACGUUCUCUUGCAACAAGAAGAAGAGGUGGAGUUGCCCUUCAUCAAAAUUUUCCAGGUUAGGUCUGAAACUUCUCUUGGGUUUUACUUCAAUUGAAUAUUUCAUAUGAUUGGGUCUGUUUGAAUAAAGGUUUCUUGACUUGUUUUACUUUGCCUCACGGUUUGGGAUUAGUUUUUUUUUUAAAAUAGAUUUAGGGUUUCAGAUUUUUGCUCGGUCUUGAAAUUGGGAAGAUUGGUAUUCUUACUUGUUGGGUAGUAUCUCAUAUUGCAUUUCAAAAGAUGAUUUGGGUUCUGGUGAGCCUUGAAUUGGGGAAGGACAUAUCAAUGAGAUUUGGGACAAAAAUUAGAUCUCGUACCUAAUUUGUAACUCAAUUUAUAUCUGAGAAAGAUAUAAUAGGUCGUAUUGUGGCCAGUAAGUCUAGCACUAUUGAAUUUUACAGCAUCCAUGAUAAUGCCUAAUUGCCCAUGUUGGUUAUUGUACUGGCUGUUAUGUUGGUGUACUGAAAAUAUAUUGGUUUCUAAAUUGAACUGUCUAUUUGAUUAAUGUUAAGUUAUUGUCUACUUUUAUCAUUGAACAAAGCUUCUAAGCGGAUUAAUGUAAACCUGAUAUAUCUAUGUCUUUUGGCUUUUGAAAAAUUGAUUGAAACGUUUAUCAGCAUAAAUUGACAUGAAAAGAGAGUCUUUAUUAUCUAUCUACUGCAACAAUGGCUACAAGGAGCCGAUAGCACCAGAGUCAGGAGGUAACCCCACUUAGUUUUCUACUCUUUUGCUACUGUAAUUUUUUUUCUAUCCUCUUUUCUUGUUAAGCUAAAUCAGGAUUGAAUUUUUGGGGUUUUAGGCUGCCUAAUAUUCUCACUUUGCUCAAAGAUACGGCAGGUAAUUUCAUGUUGUUUACCCUGUAGACUUUAGACUAAUAUACAAAAGCUUAGACUUUUAAUUUUCUUUCAAGUACAUUGCUGAUAGAAUGUAGUGCAUUACUAAACUUUGAAAACAAGCCCAUAUAUGUUCUAGAUAAUCUCUCUUUUCUUUGUUUGCUUUCUCCAUGGAAUAUCUGCAAGUGAUACACCUCGGACAGGUACCAUUUUGUGUAUGUUGUUUUACCAAUGUGUUCCAUUGGAUGAUUGUGCUUUAAUAAUUUUAUGGAGUAUACUACACUUUAAAAGGAUUUCUUGCCUUAAUGAAAACUGAACAUGUGGAUUGAACUAAUUGUCAAUGACUUGGGUAGCAUCAUGCCUAGACAU
rnacentral:lncRNA from 1 species